AGGAGCUUUUUACUGAUAAACAGGCUCAUUUUCAAUUUUGGAUUUUGGAUCAACCAGAUAAGCAGUAGGACCUACAGUAGAUCAUGCACCUGCUUAAUUCAGGAGCUUCUGACCGAAAUCGGCAGACAUUUCAAAAGCAGAUGCAGAGCUUGCUUCCUGCCAGACAUUGGAGAUGGAGGUGAAGGAAGGAGGGCUUCACGGGAGGAGAAGCCAGAAUGUAAGAGGCUCCAGGAGAUUAAGAGGCUCAGGAGACAAUAGGACUCCAGUCACGGGUCAGUAGGCGGCACCUGGGGCGACGUACCCCAAGUAAACCUGGCCGACGGCACCUGGAUUUUCUGGUUUCCCCGAAGACCACAUCAGCCAAUCACACAGCAAUACGG